GACAAUAGGGUGCGGCACUCAAGGGCGGCCCGGCUCACACUCGCUUUCCCUGAUGGCAGCCUCUGCCGGAAGGAGGUGAUGCCAUGGAAGUGAAGGAUGCGGUAUCCUUGAUGUUCAUGUUCGGCAUGUUCAUCCUGGCCCUGCUGUCCUAUUUGAAAAAAAAGUAGACCUCCCUUGAGCCUUGUCAGCCGAGAGGUCUACUUCUGGUUAUAGCCUUAUGUCGACCGCCCUUGAGGGCAAUCUAUUGUGAAGCCGGACUGCAGAUGCGGGAACAUCUGCG
rnacentral:sRNA from 1 species